GGUUUGUUGCUCUGUUUUGGCACUCAGGCCACAGCAGAGUAGGAAAACUAAAAAGGCAGUAAAAAUGUGCUUAAGUAUGGAAGGAAAACAAGAUUACAAGAAAACCAGGCCAAUGUUAAAAGCAACAAGAUUAAAAGCAGAGGCCAAGAAAACUGCGCCAGGCAUGAAGCUUAAAGAAAGGAAGGAGAACAAGUGAAGGUAAUAAAUAAUAAUUUGAAGGAUAUUUAUAAUAUUUUCACACCCACACAUGACCCUGUCGUAGAGUUUGGCUAAACAUAUGUAGUUUGUUUAAAUUGCUUCCAAUACUUUCCUCUCAAUUUAUUUUUGGUUCAAAAUAAAUUAACAUAAAAUCAGCUUAGCAACCCAUGCUGAGGGAAGGAUGCAGAUCAGGAAAAAUAGAUGCAAAAAUGAGCUAUUCCUAAUGAGAAGAAUGUCAGUAAUGUUCAAAGAAGUACAUUUCCUUGUUUCUGGCAGAUGAGAAAUCAAUUCCCCCCUCCCCAAGUUAUAGCUUACAGCAAAUGGCAAGGUAUUACUACCAUGCUGUAACAGCUGUUGAGCCGCCAGAUGAUGUAUUUGGUUGUCUUCCAAAAUUUGCUAUUAUAAUCACGAAACAGUGGUUUCUUUUCGCUCUCUGAUAGCUGAUCUCGAUCAAGCAUUGCCACGCAAUGUGGUCUGCUUUCACAACAUCGUCUCCUCAGUUAGUGCAGUGUGUCAGGUUUUAAUGGGGAAAAAAUAGAUUGCUGUUUUUGUUGUUUGUUUAAAAGGCAGAUUAUUAACCUAUCAAGUUAUGCAAUUUUCUCUGUCCCUUUCUGAUUUAAUUUUACCUUUCUGAUUUAAUUUUACAUUGUAGAAGGGGCCACAAGGGUAAUCUAGUUCAACCCCCUGCAAUGCAGAAAUCUUUUGUCGAAUAUGGGGUUUGAACCCACAACCCUGAGAUUAAGAGUCUCAUGAUCCACCAACUGAGCUAUCCGGACAAGUGGCCUCACAGCAUAGGGUUGAGGAUAGCCUCAAACAAUGCAUACACUGGAGGCUUGGAUUCAUUUGUUCAUUCUUUAGAUUUGUAUAGCGCUUUUCCACACAAAAAAAUCAUGCUCAAAGUGGUUUACAAAACAACAACAACACAGGAACACAUUUCAAAUGCUACAAAACAAUUUCAUAAUAACACAGCCAAGCAACAUAGUAACAGUUUCAUACUAACAUAGCCAAACAAUAGCAUAGUAACAAUUUCAUAAUUACAAAGCAGAACAAUAGCAAAUAUAACAUGAAAAACAUAUAAAGAAUUCCCAGCAGAGCUGCUGGGAAAGAACUAUUUUUCAGCUUCAUUUGCCAUCUGUAAAAUAGGUGUGCCUUACCCUGGCUGGAUGAUGGUAGUUAAAGAAGAUAAAGAUUGUGAAGCAUGUGGCAUGUGAAAAGUGCUAUGCAAAUUGUUAAUGAGAGUAAAAGGAAAUCUUGCAGAAGCAGAAUUAUACUUCAGUGUUGUGUUUUCAGGGUUGAAGCAUAGGGUUGAGUCACAUAUGCACACUCUUCACAUGAUUUCUGGAUGCUUGAUUGUACAACUUGGUUGGCAACUGACUGAGAAGCAAGCUUCUUGGAAGUAUUGAUGUAAAGUCAAAUCAUUUUGUUUAGUGUUGCAUCAGCAAGCCAUUUCCUUAUGUCUCCAUGCCCUCAUGUCCUCAGGUUCAGUUAGUUGUGUCCAGACAAGAGCAAAAUAUAAGUUACCUUCUGCCAACCUAGCAGUUCGAAAGCAUACCAUUGCAGGUAGAGAAAUAGGUACCACUGUGGUGGGAAGGUAAACGGUGUUUCCGUGCACUCUGGCUUCCAUCAAGUGUCCUGUUGCACCAGAAGCGGUUCAGUAAUACUGGCCACAAGACCCGGAAAACUGUCUGCAGAUGAACGCUGGCUCCCUGGGCCUGAAAAGUGAGCUGAAUGCUGCACCC